rnacentral:rRNA from 1 species
UAGAGAUGUGUGAUGACGCAUAUCAAUAAGCGGAGGAAAAGAAACUAACAAGGAUUCCCUAGUAACGGCGAGUGAAGCGGGAAGAGCUCAAAUUUGAAAUCUUCAAGGUUCUACCUUGACGAAUUGUAGUUUAUAGAAGUGUUUUCUGUUAGUGGAGUGGCAAAAGUUCUUUGGAAUAGGACAUCAUAGAGGGUGAGAAUCCCGUAUUUGGUCAUUCCUCCUAGCUUUGUGAUACACUUUCAACGAGUCGGAUUGUUUGGGAAUGCAGUCCAAAAUGGGUGGUAAAUUUCAUCUAAAGCUAAAUAUUGGCGAGAGACCGAUAGCGAACAAGUACCGUGAGGGAAGAUGAAAAGAACUUUGAAAAGAGAGUUAAACAGUACGUGAAAUUGUCAAAAGGGAAGCGUUUGACACCAGUGUUGUUUUUCCGAAAAUCAAUUACGAAUGUUUUAUUUUUGAGGAGUUAUGACUUCAUCGGCUUGCUCCUUUCUUUACGAAACUUUCUUAAUGCACUUUUCGGUUAACAAGUCAACAUCAAUUUCUUUUGUUGUAAAAGAGUAUGAGGAAGGUGGCUUUCUUUUCGGAGAAAGUGUUUAUAGCCUUGUACCUCUGCAAUCGGAGAAAUUGAGGUCUGCAGCGUAGAUCCUUCGGGGUUAGAUACAUUUGUGCUAAGUUAUAGCUUUUCAUAGACAACUUGUUGACUAUGUUUAGUCUUGUAGCUUACUCGCUUAUGCUAUUUUACCUACGCUUAGGAUGUUGACAGCAGUAUAGACUGU